UCAUAGAAAGAAGAAGUAUUCACACAGGUGCUACACUCAGCUGGGGCGGAACCAAUCUGCGGCUGCAGGUUUGCUACCUGCAGCAUGAGAAGGGACACACGCAGCACUGAGGAGGAACGGAGAAUGAAUGACCUCGCUCAAACAAAGUGGCUGUGAGCGUGAGGAUCUGCAGCAAACUGUGCAUGACUGCUUCAUCUGCAAAAAUCCGGGUAGCAGCCGGUUUUUAUCCUAAACCUAUCAACUUACCCUAUCAACUAAACCCAUCACCUAAGUUGCCAUCGUUGUAUUCCAUGACCUUGCAAUCAUUGCAAAAUAAAAGAGGAAGAAAAGAAAGCAACUGUCUGACUCAUGAGUGGAGCCCAGCUCAUAACCUGGGUAGAUGAAACAUCUUUUUUCAAGUGGGGAAACUGCACACAAACCUUCAAAAAUCAUCAAUGAUAUUCACAUGUCAUUGAAAGUGGGAGAACACUUGACAUUGGAAAUGACAAGUCAUAUCAGCAAUGUAAAAAGUUAAUGAGGGUGUUGAUGCUGCUUGUGGAUGUUGUCUCACUUAUACUAAAGGACCUGGAGAAGUUGAACUUUUUGGGUAACAGGAUCACAUUGCUGGACACAUCUGUUAAGAGCUGCCUUAAACUAUUUCUUAGAUGACAAAUGAUGGAGGUGUGGACAUUUAAGAUCCUGACUGUGACCCUAAUUGACAAGCAGCAUCCAUCAUGCCAGCAGUCUGAUCUCAUCUUUUUGUUGUCAUUAGUGGCAAGGUGUCACGUGAAUAAAGCUCCAUUUUAAGUUGA